GCUACUCAGUGACUUUCUGAUGGGCUUGGGUGGGCUCAUGGGGCUUGACGUUGCUCUCAAUCACAGUACCCAAAGCUCCAUAGAUUUUGCGGUAGAAUUUAUUCAUUGAUUGACUAUGCUUUCUCAGCUAUCAAAGAUCCCCAAUUCCCAAAUAAUAUAAUAAUAAAACUGAAAGUACGUAAGUUUUUCUGUUUCAAGAAAGCAGGGAUGGGACUGUCUCCUCUCUACAGUGUAUGAUUCAAAAUGUUCCCCCCAUUCCAGUCACUUCCCGAAACGUAAUAAAUACCGAAAUAUUAAAGUGACCAAGUCCUGUCAAAGCGGCAGGAUGGGGAAGCGUCUCCCUAAUUCCAGAAAUUUGAGACGUGAGUAACUAGGGUUUCGACGAGACCCGCCGAUUUCACUCAAUUCUAUACCCAACCAUUCUCCGUAUCUCGCCAUUAUUCGCGAACACUUUUCUGUAUGAAUCGGGUCUCGAUCCGAUUGCUCAUUGCCGCACCGGGUCCUUUUAAGCUUCGCCAGUCUUGCCGUCGUCAAUGGCAUCAAAGCCUAUGGCUGUCGCUUCUGCUAAUGUUAGAUUUGGGGCUACCAAUGACUCCUCGAUGGCACAAGGCCCAGGUCCGACUCCUGAGGAUGUGUUAUCGGUUAUUGAUUCAUUAAAAAAACAUAUAUCUGCUGAGCGGUGUGUUUCCAUCAAGAAAAGAAUGGAAGACAAUAGACAGAAGCUGACUGGCGUCACAAAUCAUCUUUAUAAAUCAUCAAUGGGAAGAAGAAUUUGUGGCAUUGCCGAUACUAAUGGAAAUCCAGACCUACUGACGAAGAGGCAAAAAGAUGCAAUCAAUAUGCGCAAUGAUAUUCAUGCAAGUAAUGGUGACAAGGAGAGCAACGGUUCCCAGGAUUGCAAUUUUUCUACAGCAGUCCUUCUAGGAUCUAACGUUGCAGUAAAGAAUGCUGUUCGCCCUAUCAAGCUGCCAGAAGCAAAAAGAUUACCUCCUUAUACUACGUGGAUUUUUCUGGACAGAAAUCAAAGAAUGACUGAGGAUCAGUCUGUAGUAGGUCGAAGGAGAAUUUAUUAUGACCAAAACGGUGGAGAGGCACUUAUCUGUAGUGACAGCGAAGAGGAAAUAAUUGAGGAAGAAGAGGAAAAAAGGGAUUUUGUGGAAUCUGAAGAUUAUAUACUUCGCAUGGCAGUCAAAGAAUUUGGUUUGUCUGAUCUUGUACUGGAGUCUCUGGCUCAGUGUUUCUCUAGAAACACUUGUGAACUUAAGGCAAGAUAUGAAGUUAUUAGUAAUGGAGAAAACAUUGGUGGGGUUUCUAAGAGUGCUGGUACUGAAGAGAAUUCACUAAGUGGAAACUCUUUUCUGGAAAAAGAUCUUGAAGCAGCUCUUGAUUCUUUUGACAACCUUUUCUGCCGUAGAUGUCUUGUUUUCGAUUGCAGAUUGCAUGGAUGUUCUCAGGAUCUUGUGUUUCCUGCUGAGAAACAACCUGUGUGGAUCCCUCCUAAUGCUGAAAGUACACCGUGUGGUCCAAAUUGUUUUCAAUUGGAACUAAAACCACAAAGAUUUGCCGGAUUGACCUCUUCUUCCCAGGGAGAUGCUGAGAAGAAAAGCUCAGGUGGUGCUGGGAUGCAUAUAGCAUAUAGGAAGAAGUCUUUUGGCCCAUCUGCUAGAAGGUGGGUAAAGGGCAGCCAAAGUGAAAGUACUUCAUCCAAUGCGAAGAACAUAUCUGAAAGUAGUGACUCAGAGAAUGGUAAUGGUCCUGGACAGGAAACUGCCUCAGCCUCCCACUCAGCAUCUCCUAAAACUAAAACUCUGGGGAAAGGUGGAAUAGGUACAAGGAACAGUAAGCGUGCAGCAGAAUGUGUCCUAGUUUGUUUGCAGAAAAGGCAGAAGAAAACACUGCUUUCAGAUUCUGAUUCCAUUGGUGAGGCUCCUGAUUGUUCAUUGAAUGGGAUAGCUUCUGACCCACCUGUCAGUAGUAGCAAUGACAUCUUGAGGAAGGAAGAAUUCUUUGAUGAGAAUGUAUGCACGCAACAAUGUACUGGCAAUAAGUUAUGGAAACCUCUUGAAAAGGGGCUUUUGGAGAAAGGAGUUGAAAUUUUUGGUAGAAACAGCUGUUUAAUUUCCAGGAAUCUCUUAAAUGGUCUAAAGACAUGUUGGGAGGUUUUCCAAUACAUUAAUUGCAACCAGGGAAAGGUGUCAGGCUCUACUGGUGAUGCUGAAAUUUCCCUCAUGGAAGGCUAUUCCAAGGGUAAUAAUGAAGUAAGACGAAGAUCAAGGUUUUUACGUAGAAGGGGAAGAGUUCGCCGCUUAAAGUACACCUGGAAGUCUGCUGCCUACCAUUCAAUCAGAAAAAGGAUCACAGAGAGAAAGGAUCAGCCCUGCCGGCAGUAUAAUCCAUGUGGCUGUCAAUCAGCAUGCGGAAAGCAGUGCCCUUGUCUUCAAAAUGGAACCUGCUGUGAGAAAUACUGUGGAUGCCCAAAGAGUUGCAAGAAUCGAUUUCGUGGCUGUCAUUGUGCAAAAAGUCAAUGCCGGAGUCGUCAAUGUCCAUGUUUUGCUGCAGAUAGGGAAUGUGAUCCAGAUGUUUGUAGAAAUUGUUGGGUCAGUUGCGGUGAUGGUACCCUAGGGAUUCCCAGCCAAAGGGGUGAUAAUUAUGAAUGUAGAAAUAUGAAGCUUCUUCUCAAACAGCAGCAAAGGUAUUGAAUCUUGCAGGUUAAUCGAGCUGAACAUGGAUGAUGGUUUGCCAUGUCAAAGCCAACGUUAUGUGGGGCAUGUUGUGAACAUUUCACGUUUGAAGCUAUGGAGACAUAAUUAAGUAAACUGGGUGCACCACAUCAUUUGUGAUCUAUCCAAUAAAAACAUAAUAUUUAGAUGUCAUUAAAUAUAAAUUAAUUCUAAUAUUAGCAAUAGUAGAGAGAAAAAAUAAGAAAUCAAAAGUGCAUUCUGUUAUAAAAAUAAAAUCAAUUAAAAAAAUGUCAAACAAGAUUUUAUUUAAAUCACUUGGAGCAUUUUUAUUGAACAGACCACAAAUGUCGUGAUAUAUCCAGUCUACCUAAGUAUUUCUCUAAAACUAUGAUAUAGGAUAAGAGGUUCUAAGUGGAAUAAUGAGCCAAGUGCCUAUAUGAUAAUGCAUUUUCUCAAUUUAGUCCUAAUGAGAAAAACUUGUUCUUACACACUACUGGGAUUUAUUGCGAUAAGGACUUGAUCUUUGUACUUUUUUAAGGAAAUUAAUAAAAAAAUAUAAUUAAAUAGAAAAGCAGAGGUUUUGAAAUUUUGAUAACUCUAUUUCAAGGGGGUUUGCGUGGACUUGUUCUAUUUCAUCAAUCAAAUCUUCAUGUGGGUUUUGUCUGUUCUUUGUUAUCCCCCUUGAGAUGAUGAGCCUCUUUUGUUGUCAAUUUACGUCCUAUAUAUAUAUAUAUAGGUUCUUCUUGGAAGGUCUGAUGUAUCUGGCUGGGGAGCUUUCUUAAAGAGCAGUGUUGGAAAGCAUGAAUACCUUGGAGAGUAUACUGGAGAGUUAAUUUCACAUCGGGAAGCAGAUAAGCGGGGAAAGAUAUAUGAUCGCGAGAAUUCA